GGGCCCGUAGCGUAGUGGUUAUCGUGUCUGCUUUGGGUAGACAUCUUUAUUGCAGAAGGUCCCGCGUUCGACUCGCGGCGAGCCCC